rnacentral:lncRNA from 1 species
GCUGGUUUGCAGGUCAAUUUGAAUAUAAAUCGUUCAACAUAUAGGCGUGUUUGGUUCGAAGUCGGAGUCGGAAUCGGAAUCGGAAUCGGAAUCAGAAUCGGAAUCAAAAUAAGCUGGAAUCGGAAUCGAAAUGACUCAUUACCUAAUUUUGUUUGGUUCAUCACCUGAAUCGGAAUCGGAAUAAAUUAUUCCCAUUAUCGAUGUUUGGUUUAAGUGGAUAUAAAAAACGUAAUCAAAUUAAUAUACUAACAUUAUCUUUAUAAUAUAUUAAUUUAAAUUCAAAUUAAAUAUUAAAUAUUAAAAAUUUACAUCAAAAUUUUGAAAUAAUGUCAAAAUUUUAAAUCUAUUUUUUUUUAAAAAAAAAUUAAACUU